rnacentral:rRNA from 1 species
CCUACGGGAGGCAGCAGUAGGGAAUCUUCCACAAUGGGCGAAAGCCUGAUGGAGCAACGCCGCGUGGGUGAAGAAGGUCUUCGGAUCGUAAAACCCUGUUGUUAGAGAAGAAAGUGCGUGAGAGUAACUGUUCACGUCUCGACGGUAUCUAACCAGAAAGCCACGGCUAACUACGUGCCAGAAGCCGCGGGAAUAUGUAGGUGGCAAGCGUUAUCCGGAUUUAUUGGGCGUAAAGGGAAUGCAGGCGGUCUUUUAAGCCUGAUGUGAAAGCCUUCGGCUUAACCGGAGUAGUGCAUUGGAAACUGGGAGACUUGAGUGCAGAAGAGGAGAGUGGAACUCCAUGUGUAGCGGUGAAAUGCGUAGAUAUUAGGAAGAACACCAGUGGCGAAAGCGGCUCUCUGGUCUGUAACUGACGCUGAGGUUCGAAAGCGUGGGUAGCAAACAGGAUUAGAUACCCGUGUAGUC